rnacentral:tRNA from 1 species
AUUUAUAUAGCUUAUAAUAGAGCGUGAUAUUGAAGAUAUCAAAGAGGUUUUUAACCUGUAAAUA